rnacentral:rRNA from 1 species
GUGCAUGGCGGCAGCUACCAUGCAAGUCGUACGAGAAGGUUCCUUCGGGAACUGGAGAGUGGCGCACGGGUGAGUAACGCGUGGGGACCUACCUCUUAGUGGGGGAUAACGGUUGGAAACGACCGCUAAUACCGCAUACGCCCUUCGGGGGAAAGAUUUAUCGCUAAGAGAUGGACCCGCGUUGGAUUAGAUAGUUGGUGAGGUAACGGCUCACCAAGUCAGCGAUCCAUAGCUGGUUUGAGAGGAUGAUCAGCCACACUGGGACUGAGACACGGCCCAGACUCCUACGGGAGGCAGCAGUGGGGAAUAUUGGACAAUGGGCGCAAGCCUGAUCCAGCCAUGCCGCGUGAGUGAAGAAGGCCUUCGGGUUGUAAAGCUCUUUCAGAUGCGAAGAUGAUGACGGUAACAUCAGAAGAAGCCCCGGCUAAUUUCGUGCCAGCAGCCGCGGUAAUACGAAAGGGGCAAGCGUUGUUCGGAUUUACUGGGCGUAAAGGGCACGCAGGCGGUCCUGCCAGUCAGGGGUG